GUUGUGACGUUCGAUACAGACGAGAUUCGUAGUGAGCUGCGCGAAAACUCUCAUUCAACUAUCAUUGAAAGCUAACUUAGAGGGUACUUUUGAACACCAUCAUCAUGGCUUACAAAGAACGACUGCCUGAGCCGAAAGGACCUAGGUUUGCCGAUCCGGAUACGUCGAAUUUUCGUACUUUAUAGCAAUGUUCAAAUCUGUGACUCAAGCGGAUGAGGCCUUGGAUUCGGAACACAUCAAGAAGAUUGUUGGGCUCAAGAGAGUAGUCUCGCCUUCUGUUAAAAAGCUUCGUGAAGUUUCUGAUGCAGUCAAUUUAAACAUGCGAGCGCUGCAGACAUAGGGAAUUGCUGAGGAGAUCUCAGGAUUCAUGAUUAUCAACCUGCUGCUGCAGAAGUUUGAAUCUAAAACGUAAACAAGUGGAAGGAGCACAUGUCGUCGGAUUUCUACAGUUUUAUGAAUUCUUGCAGGAACUCUGCCAAAAGACGAAGCGGUUGGCGUUAAGCUUGCCGAUCCUGCACGUUUCAAUCCUCCUCUUUGGUGCGACCGUUUUUUAUGAUCUCCUCUGCUUAGGCCAAAUCAAGCUCACCGAUGGCCUGCCUCUUCUACAGAAGACCCGGCUUGGGUGGACAGAAGGUAGUAAGCUCGGCGCUUUUGGCCACGCACAAUUGUCCAGACUCGGAAGCUAAAAUGGAAGCAAGGUUGGAUGAAAUUCUUCAUGUCUUGUGAAGUCGAGAAUUGUGUGGAGGCUGGAAUACCAUAAAAGAAGUAGAUUGUGAAGCACAUUUUGUGAGCCACCUUUCGCGAUUGCUAUCAAGGGAGUAAUCAGUUCGUAUGCCGUUAAGCGUCUUAUACUUAGGCGUAUCAACGAUUCGUCAGUUUGAAGCGAAAAUUGUAAUCCUACACUCCAGGCGCGGUAUUUCACCUUUAUGAGGGAGUACAUUGAUUUGCAUCAUAUGCACCAAGUCAACCCUGAUUCCCGUAGCCUCUGCAAAUAUAU